rnacentral:rRNA from 1 species
AUUGAACGCUGGCGGCAUGCCUUACACAUGCAGGUCGAACGGUAACAGGUCUUCGGAUGCUGACGAGUGGCGAACGGGUGAGUAAUACAUCGGGACGUGCCUAGUAGUGGGGGAUAACUACUCGAAAGAGUGGCUAAUACCGCAUGAGAUCUACGGAUGAAAGCAGGGGAUCGCAAGACCUUGUGCUACUAGAGCGGCCGAUGGCAGAUUAGGUAGUUGGUGGGAUAAAAGCUUACCAAGCCGACGAUCUGUAGCUGGUCUGAGAGGACGAUCAGCCACACUGGGACUGAGACACGGCCCAGACUCCUACGGGAGGCAGCAGUGGGGAAUUUUGGACAAUGGGCGAAAGCCUGAUCCAGCAAUGCCGCGUGCAGGAUGAAGGCCUUCGGGUUGUAAACUGCUUUUGUACGGAACGAAAAGCCCUGGGUUAAUACCCUGGGGUCAUGACGGUACCGUAAGAAUAAGCACCGGCUAACUACGUGCCAGCAGCCGCCGCAG